GCCGGGGAUGCUCUGAGGGCCACUGGGAGGUGAGGCUGUAAGGCAAGUUGUGGCAGACCAUCACAAGCCCUUCAUAGACCUGCAAGAGACUUCCAGGUUUAUGGUUUGCCUAACAUGAGGGGCUACUGAAGAGUUUUGUGCAAGACAUGUGAUGAAGUAUUUGUGACAUGAUAAAAUGUCGUUUCAGCCAUCUUAAAACCACUCAAAGUUGACGGUCUCCUCUCCUGCCUCCUGCGGCUUCCAUUACCAUGGCAGAGACUGUGGUGUCUGAGGUGGUGUAGCGUACUGAAGCAAGGCUGUCUUGAAGAAGAGGAGACAACUCAGCAAUUCUACCACCUUUGUUGACCUCUUCUUCCCCCCAACUUAUUGCUGUAGAGGCUACCUGAGCUCAUUGUCCCUGGAGAUGGACCAAAUAGAAGAAUAAGCAGUGCCUGUGUGGUGAGCUUCAAGAGGCAUCUGUUCUCUGGGGAGUGGGUGGGUGGUAAAGCAAAGACGGGAGAUGUGUAUAUUAGCUAUCCAUUACUGUAUAAUUAAUUAUACACAAAACUAAACUAUACACUAAACUAAAACUUCACAGCUUAAAACAGGAAAUAUGUAUUAUCUCACACAAUUUCUGAGAGUCAGGAAUCUGAAAAUGGCUUAGCUAGUUUGGUUCUGGCUCAGGGUGACCUAUGGAGUUGCAGCCAAGAUGUCAUCUGGGACUACUAUCAUUGGAAGGCUCAGCUGGGGCUGGAGGCUACACUUCCAAGAUGGCUCACUUAUAGGGCUAUUGGUGGGAGGCUUCAGUUCCUCUCCACAUGAAACUUUCCUCAUGCCAUGGAACUGGCUUCCCUCAGAGUGAAAGACCCAAGAGAGAGACUAAGACAGAAGCUGCAAUGUUUUUAUGACCUAGUCUUGGAAGUGACUUACUGUCAUUUCUACUGUAUUUUAUUCAUUAGAAGCAAGUCAUUAAGUCCAGCCCACAUUCAAAGUAAGAGGAUUUAAGCUGAACCUCUUGAAAAAAUGGUAUCAAAGUAUUUACGGACAUUUUAAAAACUACCACAAUACAUAUAGGUGAACUUCACAAGGUGUAGACAUGGGCUGAGACAGAAUAUUGGAUAAUAUCUCAUUCUGCAAACAGCAGCCUCAUCUGUAAUAAAAUCCCAGCAUUCAGAAAUUAUCACGAUCAAGUAGGAAAAGGGCUUGUUGGAAAAAACUUAUCAAAGAUGUUACUUCAUUUAUCCAUUUAUUCUGAGCCAUAGCAUAAUAGCGACAAAUUGUGUGUCCUGUGUAAUUUGGAUACCUCUGCUCAAUAAUAGCUGAACAGAUUUUAUCCUAUUUUUAGAAUAGUUAAUAUAUACACAUGGCACAAAAUUUAAAAGGUAUAAAAGUUUCUGGUUCAAAAAUAAGAUUCCCUCAUUUUCUUUUUUUCUGAUUCUUUGAAUGCAAUUCGAUUUACUGAUUUCUCAUGUAGCCUUAGAAAGUAUUCUAUGUACUUACAAACAUAUAUGUACACAUAUUUUUUCUUUCCCA
rnacentral:lncRNA from 10 species